GCUAGGCAGAAAGGGAAAAGAGUGAGGAGGUUGAGUCAGGAUUUAGAGUCUGGAGUUUUGUCUUUAGUAGAAAGAAGAAAGGAGUGAAUUCUGAGUGUUUCAGAGGGAAGCGAGCCAGUAGGGAGGAAACAAUGAUUCAACACCCAAGGGCCCAGACAGAAUAGGCUGGGAAAGUCUCAAGAUUUGGCUGUAGAAGAAGCUGACCAGAGGAAACUGCUAGUUGCUGGACCACAAGCUGGGUCGCCAGCAUGUUCUUAACGGUCACUGAUUUACUUAGUAGAAAGCCAAAGUUGCCAGCAACAAACCAAUCUUUGGAGAACAUUCCUCCAUCUCUUAGCUUCCAGGCUGAUUUUGCCCACCUUUCUUUGUCCAAUCUAGAACUGGCCUCUCAAAUUACUUGAACCAGAGACCAGUAACCAGAAUGGUUCAUGCAGUAGGGACCCACCAUCCCCAGACUGAAACCUCGGGGUCCAGACACCAUCCAGCAUAUCUGGGG
rnacentral:lncRNA from 1 species